UGGCGGCGGUGGCGGCGGUGGCGGCGGCAGCCCGGGGGGAGGGGGCGGAGCGCGCGGCCCGCUCCCUCUCUCCUCCCCCGGGAGGCGGAGGAGACCCUAUCUCGGGCCGCCGCGCCUAGGCCCGUGGACAGCCUGCGGCAGGGGCAUGGCGGCCCCGAGCAGCGGCGUGCCUGCGAGUGGUUUCUGUAGCGGCGCUGAACCGGAACACCCCAGACGCUUUCUCUCGGUGAGGGGGUGAGCUGGUAGUCAGCCCAUUCCUCACACGCGGAAACUGAGGCCUGCGGAGAGGCGGCCCCGGACAGAGAUGAGGAAAGUCAGGAAGAUGCGAAUGAGGCCCAGAAAGUUUUGUGCUGAGAUUUGAAGAAGGAGAAGUAAAAGAAGGCGGAAUGCUUACCCUGGGAGGGGAACGGCAGCGACAGAGCAAGUCUCAGGAAGGGCCUGGAGUGUGUGAGGGCAGGUGCACAAGUCAUCACCGGAAAAUCUUUGGGAUACAGUAUACAAAGUGAGGAGCUGCCAGUGCUGGAAGGACGGGUCCCAGAAGAACUUACUUAUCUUCGAACUAGAAGUUUGUACCUUUUGACUGCCUUCACCCCAGUUUCUCCACCCCGCCCCCAGCCUCUAGCAACCACCAACCUCUUCUCUGCUUCUGCUGAGCUGCUUGGCUUGCGGGAUCUCCAUUCCUCGACCAGGGAUUGAACUCAGGUCACGGCAGUAAAAGUGCUGAGUCCUAACCAUUGGACUGCCAGGGAAUUCUUUGGGAAUUACUUUUGAUCUUGAAAGACUUUUGCUUUUUGGAUGUAUUUAGACCCUGUCUGCCUUGUUUAUAUAGAGUAGGACAUCUUCCUAUUAUAAGUGCUCAUCGGUACCCUCUAUGAAGGCAUGGGACUAAAAAAAGGGGUUAAUGAGAAGGGAAUAAAAAGAACUGGGGUAUCUUUUCUGGUCUUCUUGAAGAUAAUCCCAUGACAUACAUGCCAGAGAUUAAAAAAUAGAGGCUAAUAUUGAGCAGAAUGGCCUAGAAUAAAGAGCCUUGCAUUGGACAAUAUGAUUUCCGUAAGCAUUUGGUCUACAUUGGCCUCGGUUACUUUGUCUGUAAAAUGAGGCUAAUAAUAAUUAACCUAAGU